ACUGCACUCACGGCGACCCGAGUUCGAAUCCUAUUUCAUGAUCCUUUGUAGAUCCUGCUCCACUCUCUCUCCACCCAAUGCUUUCCAGUCUGCUCUAUACUUUCCUGUCCAAAUAAAGGCAUAAACAGCUUAUAAAUAUAUCUUUAAAAGACUUUUGUGAUUUCACUCUUGGGUUUUUAUUAUUUAGCAUUAAAGUGAGUCAUGAUGUACUGCCUUUGUAUUAAUACUUAUGUUGUGUUCUGGUCACUUUGACCUAGAGAGGACUUUCUUUUUCCUGAAUAUACUAGUUAAUGUUGUUGCAUAGGACUAAACCUCCUGACUCUGCUCAUAGUGGGUAUAAGUACCUAGUUUUCUUUUAAUUUUGCCCACCUUUUUACACUUGUGUUGUUCCAAAAUAACCGGCCCUACAAAAAUUGCUUGCAAGUCUCUCUGAAUGCUAUAUUUUUUUUCAAAAUAUUGGAUUCAAUCUUUAAGCAACUUGUUUUCUUUCAGUUAGCAUAGGUUUUGUAUUUCUUGUUGCAACUGAUUGAUUGUAGGCCUCAUUGAUUUGAGCUUAUGCAGGUAAGUGUUUGAGUGAAAAUUUCAAAAAUUAUCCACAAAUGAAGCUUUUUUCUCUCUCUUAACCUCUGCUAACAAGUUGAAAAAGAGAUUAAAUCCAAGAUUUGGUGAUUAAGAUAACUUAAUGAUAGAUUUACAAACAGAUUUUGACUAGGAACACCAAAUUAGUAAGCAACUUUAGGACAGUACAAAGGUUAAAUGCAGUCCAAAAUAAGUAAAUUAAACUAUUGUUUUUUGUUCAAAGAAAGAAAGAAAGAAAAAGAAAGAAAAUCAUACUGGUUUGGAACAACAUGAAGGUUGAAGAACAUCCGGGUCAAAGGACAGUGGCAACAUGGAAGAUUUGAUGUGGAAAUGUGUUCACAUACACACCUGCUCACUAAAGAACACUUCAUCAGUCAUGAGGCGAUGCUGGGAGAACUGUGUAAUCUGA
rnacentral:lncRNA from 1 species